AAACAAAUGCAGUAAAAAUAUUUUGUUCAUACUUAGCUUGUACUAAUGUUAAAGACUAUAUUAUUUAACAAAAAUUAUAUAUAUUAAUGUUAAUUAAAGCUUAGUUAAAAAUAUUUUAAUACAUUAUUUACUAAUAUUUUUUUUUAUUUACAGUUUUAUUUUAAGAUUAGUUUAUGUACUGUGAAAUAACAUGAACAUUAAUAUUUUUAAUGAUAGGAUUAACUAACAUAAAAAAAGAUUAAUAAAAGAUCUGAAAAAUAGAUUGUUCAUUGUUAGUUCAUGUUAGUUAUUGCAUUAACUAAUGUAAACCAAAGAGAGCUUAUUAUAAAUUGUUGCCAACACUUUUAAUGGUCUAUAACCAUUGUUAAAAAUCCUUUUAAUGAUCUAUAAACAUUUGUGAAAUGAUUAUAUAAAACUAUAUUACCAGUAAAAUUCAUUAGCUUUUAAGAAUACUAUUUUUUUGAAAGAUUUUUAUAAAUGAUUUAAAAUGCUCUAUACACGUUUCAACAACAAUUAUUUAAAAGUAAUCCUAUAGCUCCAUCUGGUGGUGGCCAUGAUUGGUAUUACACACUGCGCGUUUGGUGUUGCUAUCUGAACCGGUCAGAAUGAAGGGCGCCUAAAUGGAGCGCGAGAACAGGACUGGGCAUAUGCCUACGUAAGGCCAGGUUUACAAGCUCUGUCUGUGAUGCGUAUUUUUUUUCCGAGCCCAUGUUAAUGGAUCAGAGCGUUCACACUGCACACGGUAAAAAAUGUGAACAGAAAAGGUUAGAAAUAAAAAGGUGCGAAAAGAAUGAAUAUCUAGCGCCUGAGCAUAGAGAGAGUUGUGAGUUCACAAGACACAGUUUGAGCGAGAGGAGACGCGUUUUAACUGCGCGCAUUUUCUCCGGGCUAGAGCAUGUAUCUGAGCACGCGUGUCUGGUUUUGUGA
ensembl:lncRNA